CCUGACUGCUAUCGGAUUGAUACUAAGCCAUGCGAGUCAUUGUAGCAAUACAAGGCAGACGGCUCAGUAACGCGUAGUCAACCUACCCUAUGGACGGGAAUAACCUCGGGAAACUGAGAAUAAUGCCCGAUAGAACAUUAUGCCUGGAAUGGGUUUAUGUUCCAAAUGAUUUAUCGCCGUAGGAUGGGACUGCGGCCUAUCAGCUUGUUGGUGAGGUAAUGGCCCACCAAGGCUAUUACAGGUACGGGCUCUGAGAGGAGAAGCCCGGAGAUGGGUACUGAGACACGGACCCAGGCCCUAUGGGGCGCAGCAGGCGAGAAACCUUUGCAAUGUGCGCAAGCACGACAAGGUUAAUCCGAGUGAUUCCUGCUAAAGGAAUCUUUUGUUAGUCUUAAAAUCACUAUUGAAUAAGGGGUGGGCAAGUUCUGGUGUCAGCCGCCGCGGUAAAACCAGCACCUCAAGUGGUCAGGAGGAUUAUUGGGCCUAAAGCAUCCGUAGCCUGCUCUGUAAGUUUCCGGUUAAAUCCAUUAGCUCAACUAAUGGCCUGCCGGAAAUACUGCAGAGCUAGGAAGUGGGAGAGGUAGACGGUACUCGGUAGGAAGGGGUAAAAUCCUUUGAUCUAUUGAUGACCACCUGUGGCGAAGGCGGUCUACCAGAACACGUUCGACGGUGAGGGAUGAAAGCUGGGGGAGCAAACCGGAUUAGAUACCCGGGUAGUCCCAGCUGUAAACUAUGCAAACUAAGUGAUGCAUUGGCUUGUGGCCAAUGCAGUAUUUCAGGGAAGCCGUUAAGUUUGCCGCCUGGGAAGUACGUACGCAAGUAUGAAACUUAAAGGAAUUGGCGGGGGAGCACCACAAGGGGUGAAGCCUGCGGUUC
rnacentral:rRNA from 1 species